rnacentral:rRNA from 1 species
UACAGAGGUCUCAAGCGUUGUUCGGAUUCAUUGGGCGUAAAGGGUGUGUAGGUGGCGCGCUAAGUCGGGUGUGAAAUUUCGGAGCUUAACUCCGAAACUGCAUUCGAUACUGGCGUGCUUGAGGACUGGAGAGGAGACUGGAAUUCAUGGUGUAGCAGUGAAAUGCGUAGAGAUCAUGAGGAAGACCAGUGGCGAAGGCGGGUCUCUGGACAGUUCCUGACGCUGAGGCACGAAGGCCCAGGGGAGCAAACGGG